GAUGAACGCUGGCGGCGUGCCUAAUACAUGCAAGUCGAGCGAACAGAUGAGGAGCUUGCUCCUCUGACGUUAGCGGCGGACGGGUGAGUAACACGUGGAUAACCUACCUAUAAGACUGGGAUAACUUCGGGAAACCGGAGCUAAUACCGGAUAAUAUAUUGAACCGCAUGGUUCAAUAGUGAAAGACGGUUUUGCUGUCACUUAUAGAUGGAUCCGCGCCGCAUUAGCUAGUUGGUAAGGUAACGGCUUACCAAGGCAACGAUGCGUAGCCGACCUGAGAGGGUGAUCGGCCACACUGGAACUGAGACACGGUCCAGACUCCUACGGGAGGCAGCAGUAGGGAAUCUUCCGCAAUGGGCGAAAGCCUGACGGAACAACGCCGCGUGAGUGAUGAAGGUCUUCGGAUCGUAAAACUCUGUUAUUAGGGAAGAACAAAUGUGUAAGUAACUAUGCACGUCUUGACGGUACCUAAUCAGAAAGCCACGGCUAACUACGU
rnacentral:rRNA from 1 species